rnacentral:rRNA from 1 species
CCUANGGGUGGCAGCAGUCGAGAAUUUUUCUCAAUGGGCGAAAGCCUGAAGGAGCGACGCCGCGUGGGGGAUGAAGGGCUUCGGUCCGUAAACCCCUGUCAUUUGCGAACAAACCUUUUCACUUAACACGUGGAAAGCUGAUUGUAGCGAAAGAGGAAGGGACGGCUAACUCUGUGCCAGCAGCCGCGGUAAUACAGAGGUCCCAAGCGUUGUUCGGAUUCACUGGGCGUAAAGGGUGCGUAGGUGGUUAAAUAAGUUUGAUGUGAAAUCUCCGAGCUUAACUCGGAAACUGCAUUGAAUACUGUUUGACUAGAGGAUUGGAGGGGGGACUGGAAUUCUCGGUGUAGCAGUGAAAUGCGUAGAUAUCGAGAGGAACACCAGUGGCGAAGGCGAGUCCCUGGACAACUCCUGACACUGAGGCACGAAAGCUAGGGGAGCAAACAGGAUUAGAUACCCUGNUANUC